rnacentral:rRNA from 1 species
AGUGAACGCUGGCGGUAGGCCUAACACAUGCAAGUCGAACGGCAGCACAGUAAGAGCUUGCUCUUACGGGUGGCGAGUGGCGGACGGGUGAGGAAUACAUCGGAAUCUACUUUUUCGUGGGGGAUAACGUAGGGAAACUUACGCUAAUACCGCAUACGACCUACGGGUGAAAGCAGGGGAUCUUCGGACCUUGCGCGAUUGAAUGAGCCGAUGUCGGAUUAGCUAGUUGGCGGGGUAAAGGCCCACCAAGGCGACGAUCCGUAGCUGGUCUGAGAGGAUGAUCAGCCACACUGGAACUGAGACGCGGUCCAGACUCCUACGGGAGGCAGCAGUGGGGAAUAUUGGACAAUGGGCGCAAGCCUGAUCCAGCCAUACCGCGUGGGUGAAUAAGGCCUUCGGGUUGUAAAGCCCUUUUGUUGGGAAAGAAAAGCAGCAGGUUAAUACCCCGCUGUUCUGACGGUACCCAAAGAAUAAGCACCGGCUAACUUCGUG